rnacentral:rRNA from 1 species
AUGGUUAAGUUAGAAAGGGCGCACGGUGGAUGCCUUGGCACUAGGAGCCGAUGAAGGACGGGACGAACACCGAUAUGCUUCGGGGAGCUGUAAGCAAGCUUUGAUCCGGAGAUUUCCGAAUGGGGAAACCCACUGCUCGUAAUGGAGUAGUAUCCAUACUUGAAUACAUAGAGUAUGAGAAGGCAUACCCGGGGAACUGAAACAUCUAAGUACCCGGAGGAAGAGAAAGCAAAUGCGAUUCCCUGAGUAGCGGCGAGCGAAACGGGAACAGCCCAAACCAAGAGGCUUGCCUCUUGGGGUUGUAGGACACUCUAUACGGAGUUACAAAGGAACGAUAUAAGCGAAGAGGUCUGGAAAGGCCCGCCAAAGAAGGUAACAGCCCUGUAACUGAAAUGUUGUUCUCUCCAGAGUGGAUCCUGAGUACGGCGGAACACGUGAAAUUCCGUCGGAAUCCGGGAGGACCAUCUCCCAAGGCUAAAUACUCCCUAGUGACCGAUAGUGAACCAGUACCGUGAGGGAAAGGUGAAAAGCACCCCGGAAGGGGAGUGAAAUAGAUCCUGAAACCGUGUGCCUACAAGUAGUCAGAGCCCGUUAAAGGGUGAUGGCGUGCCUUUUGUAGAAUGAACCGGCGAGUUACGAUCCCGUGCAAGGUUAAGCAGAAGAUGCGGAGCCGCAGCGAAAGCGAGUCUGAAUAGGGCGCAUGAGUACGUGGUCGUAGACCCGAAACCAGGUGAUCUACCCAUGUCCAGGGUGAAGUUCAGGUAACACUGAAUGGAGGCCCGAACCCACGCACGUUGAAAAGUGCGGGGAUGAGGUGUGGGUAGGGGUGAAAUGCCAAUCGAACCUGGAGAUAGCUGGUUCUCUCCGAAAUAGCUUUAGGGCUAGCCUCAAGGUAAGAGUCUCGGAGGUAGAGCACUGAUUGGACUAGGGGCCCCUACCGGGUUACCGA